rnacentral:lncRNA from 1 species
GAUUACUCCUCACAAUGCUGCUAAUCUUCAACAAAUUCCAUGAAAGUUACCUAAGAGCUUCUCCACUGGUAAGCCUUUUAGAGGUACUUAUCCAUUUUGUGGGCCUGUAAUAAAUGAGAAAAGAGUGAACAGGGCCCAAAACGAGAAGAAUCGUUUCUGCUUCAGGUAACCAAAGAAACCAUUAAGUACCGUAACGUGGCGAUCUUUGAUUGGCUGUUGAAAAAAUAGAAAAAGAAAAAAAGAUUUUUUCACCCAUUUUUCUCUUCUUCCCCGAACAAAAAAUCUCUUUUCUCUCUCGACCUUCUGCGGCGAAAGCACAACCGAUUGGCUUCUCUCCGGCAAAAUCAAGCGAUUAACCUUCAAUUGUUUGAGUUCUUCAUAGUAAAAGAUGCGAGUUCUUCGUUUGUGAGAUCGAUAUCAGUUUGGAUCCGGUGGAAAUCAAAAAUCCGGUGGAAAUCGAAAAUCCGGUGGAAGUGUGGAUUCGGAUCCGACGAGGUCUGAUAACGACUGCGUGGGGGAACGGCGUCUGAUAGCCACUACGAAAGGGAACUGCGCAAGGGAACAGCGAGGUCUACCUUCGCACAUCGGUCUGAGAAGGUGAGUUUUCUCAUCUCCAGUGUUCUGCAUGUCCUUCUACUUCAUUGCUUGAGGGUAUGGAAUUUUUAGGGUUUCUAGUCCGAUUGUGAAUAAAUUAAAUCGGUAUGAGUGAUAGGGUUAACAAUCUGUAUUGGGAUCUAGGGUUUAUGUUUAAUCUCAGAGCCUAGUUUUAGAAACAAAGAUUACCAUUUUCAUAUAUGACUUAUUCAAUUAAGAACUCGAUUUUUGGUCCUUUUUUUGUAGAGAUGGAGAUGGAGUCUUCAGCUGCGAAAAUAUACAGAGUGAGAAGAACAAGAAAGUGACUGAUUUAAUAACACCAUUUCUCUGUCUCUAUCAGAUCAUUCUCAGGUUAGCUAGGGAUUAGCUU